rnacentral:rRNA from 1 species
CUACGGGUGGCUGCAGUGAGGAAUAUUGCACAAUGGAGGAAACUCUGAUGCAGCAACGCCGCGUGGAGGAUGACGCAUUUCGGUGUGUAAACUCCUUUUAAGAGGGAAGAUUAUGACGGUACCUCUUGAAUAAGCACCGGCUAACUCCGUGCCAGCAGCCGCGGUAAUACGGAGGGUGCAAGCGUUACUCGGAAUCACUGGGCGUAAAGGGUGCGUAGGCUGGCUUCUAAGUCAGAUGUGAAAUCCAAUGGCUUAACCAUUGAACUGCAUUUGAAACUGGGAGCCUAGAGUUCAGAAGGGGCAGAUGGAAUUAGUGGUGUAGGGGUAAAAUCCGUAGAUAUCACUAGGAAUAUCAAAAGCGAAGGCGAUCUGCUGGGAUGAUACUGACGCUGAGGCACGAAAGCGUGGGGAGCAAACAGGAUUAGAUACCCGCGUAGUC